rnacentral:tRNA from 1 species
GGCUCCUUGGUCAAGCGGUUAAGACACCGCCCUUUCACGGCGGUAACACGGGUUCGAGUCCCGUAGGUGCCU